AUGAACGGAGGAGGUAGCGCGACGCCCUUCUCCCGCACCACCACCACCCUCAGCACCACUUCUUCUUCUACCUUGCAAGCAGGUGAGUCGGGACAAGGGGACAGGGAAGCUGCUAUUCAAGCCGAGAUGGCCAGGGUUAACAACCUGCCAGCCAAUAGUUCCUACGCGAUUCACCGCAUCAAGGUGCUGAACAAACUUCGCCAUCUUUUAUCUAUAAAGGUAAGAUUUACGUAA
rnacentral:rRNA from 1 species